GUGUCAGUCCCAUGUGUCAGCACAGCUGAGGAUCUUGGGAGACACAGAAGGACGCUUGCACCAAGGUGGCAUUCAUUUUUUUUUUUUUUUUUAAGAACAACUUUCCUUCCACCUAAUCCAAAGAACGGUGCAUCUCAACUGCUCUGUUUCCUUCUUGAGGAAGCAUGAUGACAUCAGCUUCGCCAAAGUUCUUCCUGUGAUGAGACGGCAGAGAUUGUCCUAAAUAUCGGGAAAAUGGAGGACACACUCAGGGUUUUUCUUCUCCCUGACAUCUUCACUGUGUUUACGUUUGCGUCCAGGCAUCGUGUGCGUGGGACCCGGUGGGCGCGUAAGGAGCCCGCGGGACCACGUCCACAUCCUUCCCGCCCGCGGGUGGCCGGUGCAUCCCCGACGCCCACCAGGACCAGAAGGCCCCGCGGGAGGACUUGGCUGGUGACCGCGUGGCAGGAGACUGUCACGGCUGAAAGAAGCUACCGGCACCGGAAGCCCAGCGUGCUCCCUGUGGACCCAGUUUCCGGGGCCGUGAUCCCCAGCUACAUGUGGCCAGCGGAAGGGCUCGGCUUGCAGUCCAAUGAGGGUGAUUCUUAAGAUUCAGACUUUCGAGGGGGAGAGACCAGGGUCUCUCUGUUCCAUGCCCUGGUCGGUGACCUGAGGAGAGCUACCGAGCUCCUUACGGCUCAGCACCCUUCUCCCCGAAGCGCAGACCUAACGGCACUUCCCGUGAGGUGGGGAGUGGUUGGCAGGGAACCGAGUUGGUGAAGACACGGAUUUGGAGUAAAACCAGGCUUCCGCCCUCCUCCCUAUGGCCCCUUUCACUAGGAUGCUCCCUCACACACACACGUGCACACACAUGCCAGCACACCCGUAAAAGCAAUGGAAGUGGAGAACUGCCCAAAGUCAAGAGCGGGAGAGGCCCGGAUCCUACUGCGUGAUACUCAGCCCACUCCAUGCCCCCCUCUGCUCUGGGCCCCGGGCUCCGGGCGCCCCUUCCCCAUCUCUCCCUGAACGUGUCCCCUGUCGUGUCCCCAGCAGGGCAACUCCAUAGCGUCUGACGAACAGUCUGCCUUGGUCUCCUGGCCUUUCCCACAUGCGGCUUCAUGGCAGUCCGAGGGGGGAAACCGUCUGCAGACCCCCGUGGGAAGCGGGGAGGGGGCCUUUCGCUUGUUUGUGCCGAACCCUGACUGCCACGCUAAAUGCAAAUGUCCUUUCAAGUUACUGACGACCGAUGCCAAUUUCUGAGAUGGUUUCCCUAUAAAUGUAGGGGACAAUAUCCUGUGGUUUGCAAACCACGAGUUACGACUCUCCCUUUUUAUGUGUGUUGGUUGGUUUCCCGCUGCAGUGAAGGAACCAGUUUCACAGCGUGGGGCUGGGGACCCCCAGAUCACCUCUGAGAUGAACACAGUCCAGUUUCCCAAAUUCCUGGGACUAAAAAUAAUUCUAUCACAUGAAAGGGCAAUUUUUUGUAAUGACGAAAUCCGUCAUUAGGUGAAGGGUCCUCCCCGCCCCCACUCUAAAGUCUGGUAACUCCUUCGUUUGUUUGUUAAACCUUUCAUGUUAAGGGUUAAGAGAUGAUAAGAUUCCUCAUGGACAGAUGGCUAUUUUUUUUCUACGUUUCCUGUUUUUAUUUUAAUCACAGAUAGUUAUUAAGACUUGGUAUCAGAAUUGUACUUUUGAUUCCUAAUAUACGCCAAAAUACAUUUUAUCAAAUAUUUAUAGUAGAGUCAUGCAUAAAGCAUAUAACCUCGAGAACACGAACUAUCAAUUUGUACUGCUCUGGACUCCAUUUGGCGAGUUAAGGGAUUAGGAAUGAGAUUUAAGGAAAAGCCAAAGGGUACAUUUGUUUGUGAUAAAUAUUUUAAGCAUCUGUCAUAAAAUGUGGCCAACCCUGUCUGCACUUUGAUGACUGAUUUCCAUGUUUUAUCUCUCUCCCCACCCCGAGUUCUUUUUGUACAUUUUCACAGAUAACUGCCGUGAUUUUUCUUGCCCUGAAAUUUCUGGAGUUCACUUGGAGGAACUCUUUUGGAACGGUGGACUUUGGGGGGAGGGCUUGAAAAGAAAGAGCCCAACCUCCCGCCCCCGGACAAGGACUCUGCACGUGAGGCCGGAAAGGUCUAGACGUCUCACGGCAAAUCUUGCCGAUGGGCGGAACCAGGCUGGACGCAAACCCCUCUGCACACUCUGAUGGUGCCUGCUCUGCAAUUUCUGUCCCGUCUUGAUAAGGAACAGUUCUUUCUAUCAGUGCACCUGCCCGGAGGGUAUACAGUUCGACACAGGUUUCAUGCCGCAGGUCUUCUCACUUUUAGAAGGUCCACCUCAAGAUAAAGCACUUGAUUUCACCCUCGGGGUAAGCGUUGACUCCCACACAUUUAGAAUCUUCUUCUUGGCAGAUGGAGUUUCUCCUCUCGGAGGAGAGUAUUUGCAUUUUUGGAUUAGGGGGAGAUUUUGACAAACCGGAAGUCCUUUGGAUCAUAAUAAAGCAUGUUGGAAUGGUG